rnacentral:lncRNA from 1 species
CGGGGUGGGCUCACCUGCCGCCUGUUAAUGCUCCUAGCGCUUGGCCCCUCCCGGGCCGCAGUACUCCUCGUGUGACACGGACAUCAUUAAGCCAGCUGAGAAUCGUGCGGUUACAGCUGCUGCAGUUUCUUUGCAGAGUAAGAGGCUCUUUUUGAAGUUUCCCUGAUGGUGAGGCUUUACCCCUGGAAGUGUCUUAGGAAG